GGAACUGAUUGGUAAGGUUUAGGACAUCCCGAUUGCAUCGGGAGGGUCACUGGUUCGAAUCCAGUAGUUUCCA
rnacentral:tRNA from 1 species